rnacentral:lncRNA from 1 species
GGGAGGUGGUUUUGGGGCUCCAGGGACAGGGUUGGGGCUCUAGAGGGAGGUUUGGGGAUGCCGGGAGGUGGUUUUGGGACGCCGGGAGGAGGGUUUGAGGCUCCGGGAGGUGGGUUUUAGGCUCUAGGAGGUGGGUUUUAGGCUCUAGGAGGUGGGUUGAGGACACCGAGAGGUGGUUUUGGGGCUCCAGGGGUAGGGCUGGGGCUCUGGAGGGAGGUUUUGGGGGUGCCGGGAGGUGGUUUUGGGGCACCGGGAGGAGGUUGGGGUUACCAGGAGGUGUUUUUGGGGUGCUCUGAGGAGAGUUUGAGGCUCCAGGAGGAGGGUUUGGAACUCUAGGGGUUGGUCUGGGAUGCCGGCAUGUGGUUUUGGGGUGCCAGGAGGAGGUUUUGGGACUCCAGGAGUAGGGUUGGGGAUGCCAGGAAGUGGUUUUGGGGCUCUAGGAGGAGGUUUGGGGACUCCAGCUGGGAGGGUUUGGGGCUCAAGGGGGAUGUUUUAGGGUAGUGAGAGGUUUUAUGGUGCUGAAUUGAGGGUUUGAGGCUCCAGGAGGAGGUUUUGGGGCAUCGUGAGGAGAGUUUGGGGUGCCAGGAGGAGGGUUUGGGAUGCCAGGAGCAGGUUUGGGACAUCAGGUGGGGGCCCAGCCCUGUGAGGAGGCCUGAGGUGAGGGGCAGGCCUGUGUGGAAGGGGACGAGAUGGGGCCCAGGGCUGGAGAUGAGGAGGAAGAGGAGGAAGAGAGGGCUGAGGGGGCCGGGAGACGGGGUGGUGGGGAUGGGGCCUGGCGGUGGCAGGUCUGGGUGCAGAGCGGGGCCAGGAGGGCAGCUCAGGCCUGGGUGAGGCCGUGCUGGGAUUGGGAUGAGGGCAGGAGCACAGGACAAAGGGCACAGAGGCAGGGGGAUGUCAGCCCCAGAAGAUUCUGUCAGAGUGGAGCAAGCGACAGCCGCACGGGCUGCCCGCCUGGCCUGGAGGUGGUACGGGACCGGCACGUGGGUCUCCAUCAGCACCUCUGUUCCUGCGGUCACCUCGUGCCCGAGGAUCUCGGCUCUUUCUGCAAAGGGAACGCUUUCGGCAUCAAAGGUGGCAGUUCCUGGAGCAAAUAAGACCACUGGUUAUGAUGGAGCAGAGCUGAGUAAUACAGAACUUGCUUUUUCCUGGGAUAAUCCAUAGAGAUGGAUAUUGGGCAAUGAAAGUGCAAGAGGAAGCCAGGAUCAUGUGAUCGUGUUGGACUGGGAGAAG